CGGGACGGGUGAGUAAUGUAUGGGGAUCUGCCUGAUGGCGGGGGAUAACUACUGGAAACGGUAGCUAAUACCGCAUAAUGUCUACGGACCAAAGCGGGGGACCUCCGGGCCUCGCGCCAUCAGAUGAACCCAUAUGGGAUUAGCUUGUAGGUAAGGUAACGGCUUACCUAGGCGACGAUCCCUAGCUGGUCUGAGAGGAUGACCAGCCACACUGGAACUGAGACACGGUCCAG
rnacentral:rRNA from 1 species